GAAUUCGAUUCGGUGUGACAAGGCCCGGGAACGUAUUCACGGCGCCGUAGCUGAUGCGCCAUUACUAGCGAUUCCAACUUCAUGUAGUCGAGUUGCAGACUACAAUCUGAACUGGGCCCGGUUUUGAGGAUUUGCUCCACCUCACGGUAUUGCUUCCCUCUGUACCGGGCAUUGUAGUACGUGUGCAGCCCUGGCCGUAAGGGCCAUCCUGACUUGACGUCAUCCCCACCUUCCCACCCUCAAAGAGGGUUUGUCUCCCUAGAGUGCCCAACUGAAUGAUGGCAACUAAGGACAGGGGUUGCGCUCGUUGCGCGACUUAACGCAACAUCUCACGACACGAGCUGACGACAGCCAUGCAGCACCUGUGCAGCAGCCCCGAAGGGAAGGCGCCUUUCAGCGCCGGUCUCCUGCAUGUCAAGGCCAGGUAAGGUUCUUCGCGUUAAUCACUA
rnacentral:rRNA from 1 species